UUGGACAAGCAGAUUUUAAAUGCUGAGUUUAAAUCCUGUUUCACUGCAGCUUAUGAUGAGGAGCUGUGGUUGGAAAGGAAAUCUGCAGCUGUAAUCAACAGACAGUGCUGAGAGCUGAAAUCACAGUUAAUUGAAGAUGAAGACUGUGCUGCUGUUGGCGUGCCUGCUGGCCCUGGGUUUAACCCUGCCGGUUCAAAAAAACAGAGUGAAGCGCUCAGACAGCUCUGAAGGAGGCUCGGUACGGUAAUAUCACACACACAAACUUACUUACAUAGGAUUUAUUUCCAUUACAUUACAUUACAUUUGGCAGACACUUUUGUCCAAAGCGACUUACAAUAGUCAAGUACAAAAGUAACAGAAGGUAAAAACAUCUUUAGAUAGGGCCUAAAGGAGGUCAAGGGGAGAUAAUGGGAUAAAGGAGUAAAGGAGGGAAGAAGGAAAUGAGGUUAGAAGUAGUUAGUUUG